rnacentral:rRNA from 1 species
UACAGAGGUCCCAAGCGUUGUUCGGAUUUACUGGGCGUAAAGGGUGCGUAGGCGGUUGUUUAAGUCUGACGUGAAAUCUCCGGGCCUAACCCGGAAACUGCGUUGGAUACUAUUCAACUAGAGGAAUGGAGGGGAGACUGGAAUACUUGGUGUAGCAGUGAAAUGCGUAGAUAUCAAGUGGAACACCAGUGGCGAAGGCGGGUCUCUGGGCCAUUACUGACGCUGAGGAGCGAAAGCGUGGGGAGCGAACAGG